AUGGAUAGGGCGCCGGGUCUGGACGGCUUCCAUGGGGUGUUCUAUAGAUCCUGCUGGGCAACAAUCAAGGAAGAUGUUACGCUUGCCUUCAACCAAUUCUACUAUUGUGCUGGCCAAAACCUCCGUGACUUCAAUUCUGUUCUUGUUGCCUUAUUGCCGAAGAAGGACGGGGCUUUGAAAAUAUCAGAUUUUCGCCCCAUUAGCCUCAUCCACUCCAUAGCCAAGCUCAUUGCAAAAGUGCUAUCCAUCCCCCUGUCAAAGAUCAUCCACCUGAUUAUUUCACCUGCCCAAACAGCCUUCAUGAAGUAAAAAUGCAUUCAAGACAGUUUUAUGUAUGUUCAGAAUGGAGUCGGGUCACUGCACAGGAUGAACACACUGGAAGUGCUGCUGAAACUUGACAUCACCAGGGCUUUUGACAGUAUAUCCUAG
rnacentral:rRNA from 1 species